GGCUCAGAACGAACGCUGGCGGCGCGUUUAAGCAUGCAAGUCGAGCGGCAAGGGCCUUCGGGCCCCUAGAGCGGCGGACGGGUGAGUAACACGUGGACAAUCUGCCCCCCGGCCCGGGAUAGCCCAGGGAAACCUGGAUUAAUACCGGAUGAGACGGGACCCGCGAUGGCGGGACCCGGGAAAGGCGCUGCGGCGCCGCCGGGGGAUGAGUCUGCGUCCCAUUAGCUAGACGGCGGGGUAACGGCCCACCGUGGCGACGAUGGGUAGCCGGCCUGAGAGGGUGGACGGCCACAUUGGAACUGAGACACGGUCCAGACUCCUACGGGAGGCAGCAGCUAAGAAUCUUCCGCAAUGGGCGAAAGCCUGACGGAGCCGACGCCGCGUGAACGAAGAAGGCCGUGAGGUUGUAAAGUUCUUUUCGGGAGGGGGAACAACCGUGGCAGGGAAUGGCCGCGGGAUGACGUGAAUCCCGGAAUAAGCCCCGGCUAACUACGUGCCAGCCGCCGC
rnacentral:rRNA from 1 species